rnacentral:rRNA from 1 species
AGCGGAGGGAUCAUUACCGAGUUUACAACUCCCAAACCCAAUGUGAACGUUACCAAACUGUUGCCUCGGCGGGAUCUCUGCCCCGGGUGCGUCGCAGCCCCGGACCAAGGCGCCCGCCGGAGGACCAACCAAAACUCUUAUUGUAUACCCCCUCGCGGGUUUUUUAUAAUCUGAGCCUUCUCGGCGCCCCUCGUGGGCGUUUCGAAAAUGAAUCAAAACUUUCAACAACGGAUCUCUUGGUUCUGGCAUCGAUGAAGAACGCAGCGAAAUGCGAUAAGUAAUGUGAAUUGCAGAAUUCAGUGAAUCAUCGAAUCUUUGAACGCACAUUGCGCCCGCCAGUAUUCUGGCGGGCAUGCCUGUCCGAGCGUCAUUUCAACCCUCGAACCCCUCCGGGGGGUCGGCGUUGGGGAUCGGCCCUCCCUCUGCGGGGGCCGUCUCCGAAAUCCAGUGGCGGUCUCGCCGCAGCCUCUCCUGCGCAGUAGUUUGCACACUCGCACCGGGAGCGCGGCGCGUCCACAGCCGUUAAACACCCAACUUUCUGAAAUGUUGACCUC